CGUCAAAUCAUCAUGCCCCUUAUGACCUGGGCUACACACGUGCUACAAUGGAUGGUACAAAGGGCUGCAAGACUGCGAAGUCAAGCCAAUCCCAUAAAACCAUUCUCAGUUCGGAUUGCAGGCUGCAACUCGCCUGCAUGAAGCUGGAAUCGCUAGUAAUGGCGUAUCAGAACGACGCCGUGAAUACGUUCCCGGGCCUU
rnacentral:rRNA from 1 species